rnacentral:rRNA from 1 species
GAUGAACGCUGGCGGCGUGCCUAAUACAUGCAAGUCGAGCGAACAGACGAGGAGCUUGCUCCUUUGACGUUAGCGGCGGACGGGUGAGUAACACGUGGAUAACCUACCUAUAAGACUGGGAUAACUUCGGGAAACCGGAGCUAAUACCGGAUAACAUGUUGAACCGCAUGGUUCAACAGUGAAAGACGGUUUUGCUGUCACUUAUAGAUGGAUCCGCGCCGCAUUAGCUAGUUGGUAAGGUAACGGCUUACCAAGGCAACGAUGCGUAGCCGACCUGAGAGGGUGAUCGGCCACACUGGAACUGAGACACGGUCCAGACUCCUACGGGAGGCAGCAGUAGGGAAUCUUCCGCAAUGGGCGAAAGCCUGACGGAGCAACGCCGCGUGAGUGAAGAAGGUCUUCGGAUCGUAAAACUCUGUUAUUAGGGAAGAACAAAUGUGUAAGUAACGAUGCACGUCUUGACGGUACCUAAUCAGAAAGCCACGGCUAACUACGUGC